rnacentral:rRNA from 1 species
GGUUCGGAAGAUCUUCACCAAACUUUGCGAUGGAUCACUUGGCUAUUGUGACGAUGAAGAACGUAGCAAGUUGCGAAAAGUAAUGUGACAUGCAAAACUCGUGAAUCAUCAAAUUUUCGAACAUAGACAAUGCUUCUCUUUUCUUCGGAGCUGAGAAGCGCUUGCUCGUGAGUGCCAGUUAUAUCCUUACUUACUGGAACUGAGAUAUGCUUAGAUGCUGAUGCACAGUCAAUGUCUCUCUUCCAUCAGUAAAACCGAAAGGUGAACUUUUUAUGACAGUUCUCUUUACAUAUAACUCCUGGCCUCAUCUGCGAGAGGUUACCCACUAAAUUUAAGCAUAU